AUUGAACGCUGGCGGCAUGCCUUACACAUGCAAGUCGAACGGUAACGCGGGGCAACCUGGCGACGAGUGGCGAACGGGUGAGUAAUGUAACGGAACGUGCCCAGUUGUGGGGGAUAACUGCUCGCAAGAGCAGCUAAUACCGCAUACGACCUGAGGGUGAAAGCGGGGGAUCGCAAGACCUCGCGCAAUUGGAGCGGCCGAUAUCAGAUUAGGUAGUUGGUGGGGUAAAGGCUCACCAAGCCAACGAUCUGUAGCUGGUCUGAGCUGACGACCAGCCACACUGGGACUGAGACACGGCCCAGAUUCCUACGGGAUGCAGCGGUGGGGAAUUUUGGACAAUGGACGCAAGUCUGAUCCAGCCAUGCCGCGUGCGGGAAGAAGGCCUUCGGGUUGUAAACCGCUUUUGUCAGGGAAGAAACGCUCUGGGUUAAUACCUCGGGGUAAUGACGGUACCUGAAGAAUAAGCACCGGCUAACUACGUGCCAGCCGCCGCGGUAAGAC
rnacentral:rRNA from 1 species